rnacentral:rRNA from 1 species
UUUGGUUAAGUUAGAAAGGGCGCACGGUGGAUGCCUUGACACUAGGAGUCGAUGAAGGACGGGACUAACGCCGAUAUGCUUCGGGGAGCUGUAAGUAAGCUUUGAUCCGAAGAUUUCCGAAUGGGGAAACCCACCAUACGUAAUGGUAUGGUAUCCUUAUCUGAAUACAUAGGGUAAGGAAGACAGACCCAGGGAACUGAAACAUCUAAGUACCUGGAGGAAGAGAAAGCAAAUGCGAUUUCCUGAGUAGCGGCGAGCGAAACGGAACAUAGCCCAAACCAAGAGGCUUGCCUCUUGGGGUUGUAGGACAUUCUAUACGGAGUUACAAAGGAACGAGGUAGACGAAGCGACCUGGAAAGGUCCGUCGUAGAGGGUAACAACCCCGUAGUCGAAACUUCGUUCUCUCUUGAAUGUAUCCUGAGUACGGCGGAACACGUGAAAUUCCGUCGGAAUCUGGGAGGACCAUCUCCCAAGGCUAAAUACUCCCUAGUGAUCGAUAGUGAACCAGUACCGUGAGGGAAAGGUGAAAAGCACCCCGGAAGGGGAGUGAAAGAGAUCCUGAAACCGUGUGCCUACAAAUAGUCAGAGCCCGUUAACGGGUGAUGGCGUGCCUUUUGUAGAAUGAACCGGCGAGUUACGAUCCCGUGCGAGGUUAAGCUGAAGAGGCGGAGCCGCAGCGAAAGCGAGUCUGAAUAGGGCGUUUAGUACGUGGUCGUAGACCCGAAACCAGGUGAUCUACCCAUGUCCAGGGUGAAGUUCAGGUAACACUGAAUGGAGGCCCGAACCCACGCACGUUGAAAAGUGCGGGGAUGAGGUGUGGGUAGCGGAGAAAUUCCAAUCGAACCUGGAGAUAGCUGGUUCUCCCCGAAAUAGCUUUAGGGCUAGCCUUAAGUGUAAGAGUCUUGGAGGUAGAGCACUGAUUGGACUAGGGGUCCUCAUCGGAUUACCGAAUUCAGUCAAACUCCGAAUGCCAAUGACUUAUCCUUAGGAGUCAGACUGCGAGUGAUAAGAUCCGUAGUCAAAAGGGAAACAGCCCAGACCGCCAGCUAAGGUCCCAAAGUGUGUAUUAAGUGGAAAAGGAUGUGGAGUUGCUUAGACAACUAGGAUGUUGGCUUAGAAGCAGCCACCAUUUAAAGAGUGCGUAAUAGCUCACUAGUCGAGUGACUCUGCGCCGAAAAUGUACCGGGGCUAAAUACACCACCGAAGCUGCGGAUUGAUACCAAUGGUAUCAGUGGUAGGGGAGCGUUCUAAGGACAGUGAAGUCAGACCGUAAGGACUGGUGGAGUGCUUAGAAGUGAGAAUGCCGGUAUGAGUAGCGAAAGACGGGUGAGAAUCCCGUCCACCGAAUGCCUAAGGUUUCCUGAGGAAGGCUCGUCCGCUCAGGGUUAGUCAGGACCUAAGCCGAGGCCGACAGGCGUAGGCGAUGGACAACAGGUUGAUAUUCCUGUACCACCUCUUUAUCGUUUGAGCAAUGGAGGGACGCAGAAGGAUAGAAGAAGCGUGCGAUUGGUUGUGCACGUCCAAGCAGUUAGGCUGAUAAGUAGGCAAAUCCGCUUAUCGGAGCUGAGCUGUGAUGGGGAAGCUCCUUAUGGAGCGAAGUCUUUGAUUCCCCGCUGCCAAGAAAAGCUUCUAGCGAGUAAAAGGUGCCUGUACCGCAAACCGACACAGGUAGGCGAGGAGAGAAUCCUAAGGUGUGCGAGAGAACUCUGGUUAAGGAACUCGGCAAAAUGACCCCGUAACUUCGGGAGAAGGGGUGCUUUCUUAACGGAAAGCCGCAGUGAAUAGGCCCAAGCGACUGUUUAGCAAAAACACAGCUCUCUGCGAAGCCGUAAGGCGAAGUAUAGGGGGUGACACCUGCCCGGUGCUGGAAGGUUAAGGAGAGGGGUUAGCGUAAGCGAAGCUCUGAACUGAAGCCCCAGUAAACGGCGGCCGUAACUAUAACGGUCCUAAGGUAGCGAAAUUCCUUGUCGGGUAAGUUCCGACCCGCACGAAAGGUGUAACGAUUUGGGCACUGUCUCAACCAGAGACUCGGUGAAAUUAUAGUACCUGUGAAGAUGCAGGUUACCCGCGACAGGACGGAAAGACCCCGUGGAGCUUUACUGUAGCCUGAUAUUGAAUUUUGGUACAGUUUGUACAGGAUAGGCGGGAGCCAUUGAAACCGGAGCGCUAGCUUCGGUGGAGGCGCUGGUGGGAUACCGCCCUGACUGUAUUGAAAUUCUAACCUACGGGUCUUAUCGACCCGGGAGACAGUGUCAGGUGGGCAGUUUGACUGGGGCGGUCGCCUCCUAAAGUGUAACGGAGGCGCCCAAAGGUUCCCUCAGAAUGGUUGGAAAUCAUUCGUAGAGUGCAAAGGCAUAAGGGAGCUUGACUGCGAGACCUACAAGUCGAGCAGGGACGAAAGUCGGGCUUAGUGAUCCGGUGGUUCCGCAUGGAAGGGCCAUCGCUCAACGGAUAAAAGCUACCCCGGGGAUAACAGGCUUAUCUCCCCCAAGAGUCCACAUCGACGGGGAGGUUUGGCACCUCGAUGUCGGCUCAUCGCAUCCUGGGGCUGUAGUCGGUCCCAAGGGUUGGGCUGUUCGCCCAUUAAAGCGGUACGCGAGCUGGGUUCAGAACGUCGUGAGACAGUUCGGUCCCUAUCCGUCGUGGGCGUAGGAAAUUUGAGAGGAGCUGUCCUUAGUACGAGAGGACCGGGAUGGACGCACCGCUGGUGUACCAGUUGUUCUGCCAAGGGCAUAGCUGGGUAGCUAUGUGCGGAAGGGAUAAGUGCUGAAAGCAUCUAAGCAUGAAGCCCCCCUCAAGAUGAGAUUUCCCAUAGCGUAAGCUAGUAAGAUCCCUGAAAGAUGAUCAGGUUGAUAGGUUCGAGGUGGAAGCAUGGUGACAUGUGGAGCUGACGAAUACUAAUAGAUCGAGGACUUAACCAUAUAA